rnacentral:rRNA from 1 species
CACGUAGUUAGCCGGGGCUUCUUACUCAGGUACCGCCUUCUUUCUUCCCUGCUGAUAGAGCUUUACAUACCGAAAUACUUCUUCACUCACGCGGCGUCGCUGCAUCAGGGUUUCCCCCAUUGUGCAAUAUCCCCCACUGCUGCCUCCCGUAGGAGUUUGGGCCGUGUCUCAGUCCCAAUGUGGCCGUCCACCCUCUCAGGCCGGCUACUGAUCGUCGCUUUGGUAGGCCGUUACCCUGCCAACUGGCUAAUCAGACGCGGGCCCAUCUUAUACCACCGGAGUUUUUCACCCUGGGCCAUGCGGCCCUGGGCGCUUAUGCGGUCUUAGCACCUAUUUCUAAGUGUUAUCCCCCUGUAUAGGCAGGUUACCCACGCGUUACUCACCCGUCCGCCACUAAAGUAAAAAUGUUCCGUUGCAGUAAACUGCCUCUUCCUUCUUUUACUUCCGUUCUACUUGCAUGUGUUAAGCACGCCGCCAGCGUUCAUCCUGAGCCAGGAUACUAAACCGUCUCUAGACGACGUCGCCGAAGGACC